rnacentral:rRNA from 1 species
UACGUAAGGGGCGAGCGUUGUUCGGAAUUAUUGGGUGUAAAGGGCGCGUAGGCGGUUUUACAAGUCCGGUGUAUAAGGCAGCAGCUUAACUGUUGUUUUGCGCUGGAAACUGUGAGACUUGAGUUUAGGAGGGGGAGCUGGAAUUCCAGGUGUAGGGGUGAAAUCUGUAGAUAUCUGGAAGAACACCGGUGGCGAAGGCGAGCUCCUAGCCAUAGACUGACGCUGAGGCGCGAAAGCGUGGGGAGCAAAC